rnacentral:rRNA from 1 species
UGGCGACCGGCGCACGGGUGAGUAACACGUAUCCAACCUGCCUCAUACUCGGGGAUAGCCUUUCGAAAGAAAGAUUAAUAUCCGAUAGCAUAUAUUUCCCGCAUGGGUUUUAUAUUAAAGAAAUUCGGUAUGAGAUGGGGAUGCGUUCCAUUAGUUUGUUGGGGGGGUAACGGCCCACCAAGACUACGAUGGAUAGGGGUUCUGAGAGGAAGGUCCCCCACAUUGGAACUGAGACACGGUCCAA